UACGUAGGUCCCGAGCGUUGUCCGGAUUUAUUGGGCGUAAAGCGAGCGUAGGUAGUUUAAUAAGUCUGAUGUAAAAGGCAGUGGCUCAACCAUUGUGUGCAUUGGAAACUGUUAGACUUGAGUGCAGUAGAGGAGAGUGGAAUUCCAUGUGUAGCGGUGAAAUGCGUAGAUAUAUGGAGGAACACCGGUGGCGAAAGCGGCUCUCUGGACUGUAACUGACACUGAGGCUCGAAAGCGUGGGUAUCAAACAGG
rnacentral:rRNA from 1 species